rnacentral:rRNA from 1 species
UCCCAGACUCCUACGGGAGGCAGCAGUGGGGAAUAUUGCACAAUGGGGGGAACCCUGAUGCAGCGACGCCGCGUGGGUGAAGGAGCACCUCGGUGCGUAAAGCCCUAUCGGCAGGGAAGAAACAGACGGUACCUGACUAAGAAGCCCCGGCUAACUACGUGCCAGCAGCCGCGGUAAUACGUAUGGUGCAAGCGUUAUCCGGAUUUACUGGGUGUAAAGGGAGCGCAGGCGGCGCGUUAAGCCUGGUGUGAAAGCCCGCGGCCCAACCGCGGGACUGCAUUGGGAACUGGCGCGCUGGAGUGCCGGAGGGGUAGGCGGAAUUCCUAGUGUAGCGGUGAAAUGCGUAGAUAUUAGGAGGAACACCGGCGGCGAAGGCGGCCUGCUGGACCGUAACUGACGUUGAGGCUCGAAAGCGUGGGGAGCAAACAGGAUUAGAUACCCGCGUAA